rnacentral:rRNA from 1 species
AUUGAACGCUGGCGGCAUGCCUUACACAUGCAAGUCGAACGGAUUCAAGAGGCUUGCUUCUUGAGUUAGUGGCGAACGGGUGAGUAAAGCAUCGGAACGUACCCAGUUGUGGGGGAUAACGUAGCGAAAGUUACGCUAAUACCGCAUACGCACUGAGGUGGAAAGCGGGGGACCGAAAGGCCUCGCGCAAUUGGAGCGGCCGAUGUCGGAUUAGCUCGUUGGUGAGGUAAAGGCUCACCAAGGCGACGAUCCGUAGCUGGUCUGAGAGGACGACCAGCCACACUGGAACUGAGACACGGUCCAGACUCCUACGGGAGGCAGCAGGGGGGAAUUUUGGACAAUGGGCGAAAGCCUGAUCCAGCCAUGCCGCGUGAGUGAAGAAGGCCUUCGGGUUGUAAAGCUCUUUCAGACGGAAAGAAAUCUUUCGGGUGAAUAUCCCGGAGGGAUGACGGUACCGUAAGAAGAAGCACCGGCUAACUACGUGCCAGCAGCCCCGUAA